CCAAAGAGCUCUACAAUUCUCAUUGAUUGAGUUGGGCUUGGAAACAAAGGCCCAUAGUCCAAUCCAUAGAUGUCGGUGGGUGAAAAUUGGGUUGGUGGCCAUUUGGAUACGCCUCAAAUCCACACUCUCUCCAAAUUAUAGAGCAUGCAACCGUUUUCAGUUUUCCAAGGUGAGAAAAAGAGCUUUUCUAAUGAUAUUCAACACUUACGGUUUUCAGCUUUAGAGAAGAAAAUAAUUCAACACACGAUAAAAUAAAGUGAAAUACAUGAGGAAGAAUUAUGGUAAAAUAAAGUGAUGGGAUUUUCUUAGGAAGACAGUAAUUAAGAAACGCAGUCUAAAGGAAUAAGAUCUUCUGAACCUAAUUUAGAUUAGCCAAAUUAGGGAGAUUGACAAUCUGUGUUUAUACACUUCAUGUGAUGCACUUGGGAGGAUGACAUUUGGUUGCUCAUGAGUGAAAUCAUUCAUUUUUUUCACAAAAAAGAAUAGUCAUAUUCAAUGAUCCAAUUUAAUUAAAACAAGGUAAAUUCACAUUCAAUCCUGAAUGAAACGGUGGUUAAAAAAAAAAAAAAAUCAAAAAGUUAAAAAUGAUAGAAUUAGAAACAUAUGAAAGGCAGGCCAAAGGUAAAAGGAUAGUUUUCUCAAAACGUGAAAAGUAAAUCGAAAAAGAGAAUGACACAAAGGGCAAUAAAAAUAGAGCAGUAAGAAUGUGAUCUGUCAAAGAAAAAGAAAAACGAAGAAUUAAAAGAAGUAGGAAUAGAGGAGGCCCCCACUACCACAAAUUAUGACGCAGCCUCUCUGUGCCCCUUGGGACAGACCUUAGGCGGGCACACCUCCCAACGUGCGAUGGAGGUCACCAACACUAGGCCAUGGCUUCUUCUUCACCAACAGUUCACCCCGUCCAGGAAAAGGAAAGAAAGCUAAUCUUCAAUGUGGCCAAUGGUAGUAUGAGAGAGAGAAACACUGUUUGAACUCUAGAAUUGCAUUGAUGGACAAAGAAAUAAAGAAGAAAGGUUGAGUCCAAAAAUAAGAUAAUAUAAAGAUAUAAUAUAUGUGUGGUAUAUAUUAAAUAUCUGUGAAGAUGUAGGUGACAUUUUUCAUUAUUUGUGGCAGCUAAUUUUAGGGGUUUAGUUCAACAAAAUGGGUCUAAUCAAUAUGGUUGAAGGCUCUCUACAAUCAUAUAUGGACCCAAUUAGCUAUUAUCAUAUGUUCAACUAAGUGUAUCCAUACUCACAUGCACUUUUAAUAUCAUAAAAAUAACUUUCAAUAA